rnacentral:lncRNA from 1 species
AUGCUUAGUUUUGACUUUCCCCUGUGGUGCUUUUUAUCUGUGAAUGAAAAGCUUCUUGUCCUCAAAGUCUUGCUGGGGCCUUCCUUCACCUCUCCCUUUUCUCCCAGUUUGCUGAUGCCCCCACCUGUGGCUCUCAGCCCAGACCUGAGCUCCGAGCUCCCUUUGGAAGGCCAGCCCGAGGAAUUAGAGGUGCAGAGCAGGGGCACAGGCAUGACUGGGUGGAUAACAAAGAAAUUCACAGAAAGGACAGGAGACCACAGGAAAGAGUGCAGAGAGGGUAAGUGGGAAAAGGGCUGGAUGUGCAUCAACCAACAAGGAGAACUUGGGCCAGCGUUGAGCUUUGCUGUCUGUCGGUGCGGCGCUGUGAUGCGGUUUCCUGCAGAAUCGCAGUGGAGGAAGGAGCUGGUACAGCUGCGGUGUGAGACAGAGGUCCAGGAUGUGAACUGCAGAUGA